rnacentral:rRNA from 1 species
AAACAUAGCCUACUAUUUAACUUAGGUACAACCCUGCCCUCUGACUUUUAACAGCCGCGGUAUCCUAACCGUGCUAAGGUAGCAUAAUCACUUGCCUAUUAAUUAUAGGCUAGAAUGAACGGGAUCACUCACUUAAACUUAUUUUUAUUUAAAUUUAAAUUAAACUUUAAGUCAAAAUACUAAAUUAAAAAGAAAGACAAAAAGACCCUGAAAACUAUUAGAAAUAAUUAGUUGGGGCAACUAUAGACCACUCUAGCGUCUAUUUUUUUUUAAACUCUUAAAAUCUAAAGUAUCCAGUUACUUCAGGGAUAACAGACUAAUUUUAUUAUUUAGACCCAAUAAAUAAUAAAGAUUGGCACCUCGAUGUUGGCUUAUAUUUCCUUCAUAUAGCAACAUAUAUAGAAGGCAGCUUGUUCAUCUGUUAAAUAUUUACAUGAGCUGAGUUCAGAC